rnacentral:lncRNA from 10 species
CACGGGACCAUUCAUCAUUGCAUGCGGUGAGGCACACAGUAAAGGUCCUAAUAAGAGAUGAAGAACAAUGAAGAUAUCGUGAAAAAUAUUUUGCUUCCCUGCCUUCAUACAAUCCUCUAACAGUCAAAAAUGUAUCUGCAGCGCCCAGUAAGGCCAACUGAUGACUCAAACACAACCCCCCAAGGGUGUCCUUAUGCCCUUCCAUUGCUUAAAAUAAAGAGCUCGGGGGUCACUUACGGAAAUCAAUGGGCCUGCCCAUGGCUGCUCAUGGAACAAUCGGCUAGCGUUUCCUCCCCUCUGAGAUCCAUAAAAGCCGGCAGCUCAGCCAGAGCAGGGCAGAGGGCAGAGGACAGAGAGAUGAUGGGAUGACCCGCUGCAGAGAGGAGCUACCCUCCUGCUGAGAGCUUCAGAGACCUGCAGAGACUUCCAAAUGAUCUGCCUGCAGAGAUGAGCCACGCUUUCCAGGGCUUUCUCUCUGCUGAGAGCUGAGUACUUGAGGAGAGGGCCUGCCUAGGAGCCGACCUGACUACAGAGAGGAGCUGCCCACUGUGGGUCUCUUCUGUUCUAACACUAAAUAAAGCUCCUCUUUAUCUUCUUCACCCUUCACCUGUCUGCAUACUUUAUUCUUUAUUCUUCCUGGACGCAGGACAAGAACUCAGGGCAAAGGUGCCACUGGCCACAGAGGUUUUCAGGAAGAAAAUUGACACCCCAAAGAUUGCCACCGGCUACAGAGGCUUCCAGAAAGAAAAUUGACACCUCAAAGAUCCCGUAACAGUUCCUCUCUAGGUUAUAGGACAGCUGCCAAUUACAAUAAGGCCUGCUCACUUUCUUCUUUACAUUCAGCAGAGAGAAAUUGCCUCUCCCUAAGCCAUCAGACAGUCUAUCUUCAGUCUUUUGGGGUCAGUUUGCGAUGCUACCCAAACAAUGUAGGGCUGGUUCCUUGAAGCAAUCACUGAUUGGCUUGCUGGCCAGGGCCCAUCUACUGAGUUCAGGUCAGUUCCUCAAAGCUCACUGCUGCAACAUGAUGGAAAGUGGGGGUGAAUGUUGAGGAAUCAACUACUCUAUCCACUACAAAAGAUUUCCUCAGAAAACGCUCAUGUUUUUACUAAACUGACGCUUGACUGUACAUUUAUUUUGAAGUUUGCUAAGAUGAAAGGAAUUUUAGUAUUUCUUACAGUUAGUGUCUAAGGUAGAUCUCUGGAAAGGUUACGUGCCAUCUUGAAUUGCAGUUAGAUUUCAGACAAUUCAUGAAAUAUCAAUAUUCAAAUAUAAAUAGGAAGUAUAAACUGAUUUUUAACCUAAUUUUUAAAAAGUCAGUUAUUAGAUAAAAUAAUGUUAAAGUAAAAAUUGUAGCUAAGCAUUAAAGGCAAUAAAUAUGUCCAAAGACAUACAUAGAGAGAUUCUUUCAAUUGGAGGAAGACCACUCCCCUAAUAAUCUAAGGUUGCCUUACAUGACAGCUACAGUGCAUAAACACUCAAACAUAAUUUUAUUCUUGAGCUGCAGAAAAUUUAAACAUUUGUGUGAUAUCGUCUACAUAUAUGGAAUAUACGCAUUCCUUUCGCUCUUCAAAAUUUCUGUAAGGAAGUAAUAUAUGCACAUCGCAACAAAAUUCAACCAGCACCAAUAGUUUUUUAAGUCUCUUUCUCACUCAAAUUUCCCCAGAAUCUUCCUUCUUAAAGGCCUAAGAUUAUCAGUUUCUUGUGUGUUCUUCCCUAAAUAUUCUGUAUAUAAGAAAACAGAUACAGCCUUUUUUUUUUUUCUUUGUGAGAUGGCGUGUCGCUCUGUCUCCCAGGCUGGAGUGCAGUGGCACAAUCUCAGCUCAUGACAACCUCUGCCUGCUGGGUUCCAGCGAUUCUCCCACCUCAGCCUCCUGAGUAGCUGGGAUUACAGGUGCUCACCACCAUGCCCAGCUUUUUUUUUUUUUUUUUUUAGUAGAGAUGGGGUUUCACCAUGUUGCCUAGGCUGGUCUCGACUUCCUGACCUCAAGUGAUCCACCUGCCUCGGGCUCCCAAAAUGCUGGGAUUACAGGUGUGAGCCACCACGCCUGGCCCCCAGAUACAUCCUUUCAAAAAAAUACAAAUGGGAACACAGCUACACUGUUCAGAAACUUGCUUAUCUUCGUUUGAUAAUACACUGCGUUCAUACUCCAUAGAGUGAUCCAACCUUGAGUAACUAACUGCAUGAUUAUAUCUCAUGAACUUGAAGUGGAGGUAAGGACAGCACUUGGGCUUAGAUGACGGCUGCUGUAGAAGGAGUGAUUCACUGCCCAGGAAGGGAAAAUGCAAUGAAGAACAGGAGCCCUGAAGGAAUGUGCCACAGCACCUGGAGUGAGGGAAACAAAAUCACCAGCAAGAGGUGAAAGUGAUGGGGACAAAGAAGGCUGGGGCCUCACAAAUUGCCUACGGUUGUUGUUGUUGUUGUUGUUGUUUUGAAACAGGGUCUUGCUCUGUUGCCCAGGCGGGAGUGUGGUCGCACAAUCUCGGCUCACUGCAACCUCCGCCUCCCAGGUUCCAGCAAUUCUCCUGCCUCAGCUUCCCAAGUAGCUGGGACUACAGGCAGACACCACCACACCCGGCUAAUUUUUGUAUUUUAAUAGAGACGAGGUUUUGCUAUGUUGGCCAGACUGUUCUUGAACUCCUGACCUCCAGUGAUCCACCCACCUCAGCCUCUCGAAGUACUGGGAUUACAGGCGUGAGUCACUGCACCCAGCCUGUUCUUUUGUCUUUCAACAAUCUAGAGUCAGAGUGAAGAAUUUUACUGUGAUUCUGAAAACAAAGAAUUCUUUACUUGGUUAAUGAAGUUUUGUUUUGCUUUGUUUUUUUUUCCUUCGUCUUUGUGUAAUGGUUUUUGAAUGGGCUGUUUUUGAAUAAAAGCCUUUCGUCCUAGGGCAAUCCCAUAGUUAGGGUAUUUCUGCAUGUGAGAUUCUCUACUUCACCACUAGAUGGACCUACUUGAUAUUUUGUCUUCCGAAAAAGCGAAACAAUUUUAUACUGUGAAGUCUUUCUGACAAAGAUUUAAACUGCUCACCUUAAAAAAAGAUUUGAGGGCUUAAAAUAAUAAUAAACCAAAUCACUUUUACAAAAUAAUGAGUAAAAUGUACUUAUAUAUUUAAAUAAUGUUAAUAAAAUGAAACACUUGUAUAACCGCCUCCUGGCUUAAGAAAUAAAAUAUAACCAAAUAAAUCCUUGAAGCCAACUAUGCUUCCUCUCUGAUUUUCCCCUUCUUUUUCCCACCUGGAUAAAUUGUAAAUUAUUGGCUAUUAAAAAUCGUUUUAUAAUAUGAUAUAUCUCUAAACAAUAUAAUGUGUAAUUUGUUCAGGUCUUGAAACUUGUGUAAAAUAACUCACAUUGUAUUUAUUUUUCUCUGACUUGCUUUUUUCCACUCAUUAUUCUUUUUCUGAGAUUCAUUCACGCAUUUUUAAAACUGCUUGAUGGUAUUGUGUUUUAUAAAUAGACUAAAAUUAAUUUCUCCAUUUUACUGAUUUUGGACUUGCUUGUUUUCAUUGAAUAUUAUGAUUUUAAGAUUUUCAUGUUAACUCAUGCAGCUGAGAUUAAGGUAGAUUAAACAUUCCUGUUUUAUCAUCUGUAUCUAAUACUUCCAGGGUCAAUCUUGGGGUUCUGCUCCUCCAGUUUACUCUUUUUUUCUGCUGGAUUGGGUUGAUUUGGGCUUGUUUCCAUACGUGUUUUAAUAAUUUUUUUAAAAAAAUACAAAUACAUGUUCCUUCAGCAGAAAGUCUCUGAAAGCAAUGUUUUCAUUUUUACUUCUAUGAUUUUAUAUCUUUAAUUAGCCCCUAGAAGUUCUUCACUUCUCCCAUCUAGAGCUCAUUUCACUCACUGCCCUUUUUGGCUUCUAGACUGUCACUGUCUCCAGC